rnacentral:misc_RNA from 1 species
GAUGAAGAACGUAGCGAAAUGCGAUAAGUAAUGUGAAUUGCAGAAUUCAGUGAAUCAUCAAAUCUUUGAACGCACAUUGCGCCCGCCAGUAUUCUGGCGGGCAUGCCUGUUCGAGCGUCAUUUCAACCAUCAAGCCCCAGGCUUGUGUUGGGGACCUGCGGCUGCCGCAGGCCCUGAAAACCAGUGGCGGGCUCGCUGUCACACCGGGCGUAGUAGAUUUUAUCUCGCUCAGGGCGUGCUGCGGGUUCCGGCCGUUAAAAAGCCUUUUUUACCCAAGGUUGACCUCGGAUCAGGUAGGAAGACCCGCUGAACUUAAGCAUAUCAAUAAGCGGAGGA